rnacentral:rRNA from 1 species
CUCCCUCGUUGCUGACCCCAGGUUCGAUAGUGCCAAUGAGACACAGCCUCGCCAAGAACCAACUUCGAUGAAGCGACGGGCGGUGUGUG